GACGAAGGAUGCAAGCGUUAUCCGGAUUCAUUGGGUUUAAAGGGAGCGUAGGCGGGCUUAUAAGUCAGUGGUGAAAUCUCCUUGCUUAACAAGGAAACUGCCAUUGAUACUGUAGGUCUAGAGUACAUUUGCUGUGGGCGGAAUAUGACAUGUAGUGGUGAAAUACUUAGAUAUGUCAUAGAACACCGAUUGCGAAGGCAGCUCACAAAAAUGUAACUGACGCUGAGGCUCGAAAGUGCGGGGAUCAAACAGG
rnacentral:rRNA from 1 species